rnacentral:rRNA from 1 species
GCACUUUCAGUAGGGAGGAAGGUAGUGUAGUUAACAACCUGCAUUAUUUGACGUUACCUACACGAAGAAGACACCGGCUAACUCCCGUGCCAGCAGCCGCGGUAAUACGGAGGGUGCGAGCGUUAAUCGGAAUUACUGGGCGUAAAGCGCAUGCAGGCGGCCUGUUAAGUCAGAUGUGAAAGCCCGGGGCGUUAACCUCGGAAUUGCAUUUGAAACUGGCAGGCUAGAGUCUUGUAGAGGGGGGUAGGAAGUUUCUAGGUGUAGCGGUGAAAUAGCGUAGAGAUCUGAAGGAAUACCAGUGGCGAAGGCGGCCCCCUCGGACAAAGACUGACGCUCAGAUGCGAAAGCGUGGGGAGCAAACAGGAUUAGAUACCCUGGUAG